rnacentral:siRNA from 1 species
UGUAACAGAUGGAUCGCUGCCUA